AUUGAACGCUGGCGGCGUGCCUAACACAUGCAAGUCGAGCGGAGCGGGGGACGGGCGAGUAAUGCCUAGGAAUCUGCCCGGUAGCGGGGGAUAAGGUCCGGAAACGGGCGCUAAUACCGCAUACUCUCAGUUGAGCCUAGGUCGGAUUAGCCAGUUGGUGGGGUAAGGGCCUACCAAGGCGACGAUCCGUAACUGGUCUGAGAGGAUGACCAGUCACACUGGAACUGAGACACGGUCCAGACUCCUACGGGAGGCAGCAGUGGGGAAUAUUGGACAAUGGGCGAAAGCCUGAUCCAGCCAUGCCGCGUGUGUGAAGAAGGUCUUCGGAUUGUAAAGCACUUUAAGUUGGGAGGCGUUACCAACAGAAUAAGCACCGGCUAACUUCGUGCCAGCCGCCGCGGUAAUUC
rnacentral:rRNA from 1 species